UGGAGGUGUUUGUCAACAUUUAAGGGAAUUCACUGUUGGAAGUGAGCUGUCCCUUAUUUUCGUGAUGGAUUUUAAAUCAUAUAUUGAAUAUUUAAUGGCUUUCCCUGUUUUAUUUAGACAUGCUCACUUUCAUCAUCCAAUCCAUCCAUUAACAGUUGUUCCUCUCUUGCAGAUUCUUCAAGAACAAGGCUCUCGAAUGUGAAACAACUGUGUUUUAUAUCUUCGGGCAAAACAACACGCACCAUAUCACAUCGAGAGAGAAUUGUCAAGCGGAAUGACAACCUAUUUGGAAUGGAUGUUCUGUUUUGUUUUAGAUUAAUUGACACUUGUUUGUGCCUGCACAGUUACACCGGACUGUUGUUUCUUGACAUCGGCGGAUCUAUCUGAAUCGUUUGGUUUGAAAGGUAGGAAUAUGCAUAUCAUUAGUAAGCUGAGCAAAGAGGGCCUCAAUCACGCCUGCUCCAAUCAUGUCUACUCAGGGUCUCUUAUCGACUUUCACAAAAUAUGUUUAUCAUGUCAUUUGUGGACCAGUGAGCAAUUUUGGUAAAAUGGACAAAAAAAAAACCAACAACUUAAAACUGUAUAUUAUGCCAGAGAGUUUAAAAUUAUAAUUAAGAGAGUGGAGUUUUUAAAAAAAGUAAAAGAUUACUACAUUAUUAAGGUGGAUUGUAUGUAACGUUGAAAGGUGAGGGACGGUGGAUUUUUAUUUCAGCGUGUUUGUAAGAACAGAUGGGAUUAUGAUUUGAUUCGAUUUUUUUUGACUCGCAUAGUGUUCGUUUUUAUACCAGAAGGGUGAAAGAACAUCUGUAACAGUUUGCCUCGAAGUUUCCUCACGUUUUGUGAGGUUUUACUGUUGCUGCCUUGAGUUGGUUAAAAACAGAACAGAACAAGUUUGUCUUCCAUCCCCACAUUCAUUCCACUUGGAUUUUGGAUAAACUGGAACUAUUUUAAACGUUUUUGGGGGUGAAAAACACCUAACGCUGUUGACUUUGUGACAGAGCUAGAUUUGGUUUAGUUGGAGAAUUAAGGCGAAGCUGAUUUGUUUUGGCAGUACCGUUUCGAACAACGCUUUAUUUACAUGACGGCGACUGUUAAUUAGUGGCGUUGUAGGGCUUAUUUUAUUGACACUUUGGUAAGAGAUGGAGACAGAACGGGCACUUCUAGAAGAGUGGAAAAAAAAAUUCAUACCUACAUAGUUUAACACUGCAGUUCUUGAUUUGCUUCGGUUCAACUAUUUGAAAGUUGAUUCCAAAUAUACAUAAUCCUGUAGUUUAUUUAAAAACAUUUCGACAAUGUUGCCUUUAAUGAACCUACACACUAUCUGAAUUUCAUUUGGAAUUGUGGUCAGGGAAAUUACACAUCACUUUGCUAGGCUUCAAGCAUAUCUAUUUGACAUCGUGUAUAUAGACUAAAGAGCAUCAUAUUCAGUGCAUGUCAUUUUUCCUAAUCCUCUCUCACACACACACAAAGGGCUUUUACUAGUGGUAUACAAGCUAUAAUUUUUUGCAGAGAUUCAUCCGAUCUCGUAAUAUUGCCUGAUCGAGGCGAAGUUUACAUGGCUAGUGUUUUAUAAACAAUAAUACUACACGUUUACUUACCUUGACUAUGUGACACCACAUUCUAGUUUGGUUUCAAGACCUGUAUGUUUACAUAUCCUCUCUGUUACCUAGUUAGUUAACGUCAACCUUGUGUCUUAGCAGCUAGAGAGGAGGUUUGGCUUCGUCUCGGCGGAGUGUUAAGUUGCUUGCUCACCGAGUCAGUGUCUCGUGGUGAAACGUGCCUCUGUUAUGGCCUCCGAGGCUCCAGACAGCGCACUGAAAACACCCAUCGUCCAGGCCGUGACACUGGAGAGUGAUGGUCAUCACUGUGUAGGGCGCUGCAGCCCUUAAACUCGCUUUUUUUUUUUUACAUCCUGCCUCCAAAAUCUUGGUGGAGAUAGUAGGAUGCGCGCACUGAUGCACCGAGCUCACUUGUCUUUAUGUCUGCUGGACUUUGUCAGCCACGGUCUACAUUUCAGUUGCCCGUUUACUUAAACUUGUUUCUUGGGCCCCGGUGAGUUCGUUUUUUUUUUUUCUUCUUCUCUGAGGCUGGUAUCUCACCUCAGAUUUUUUUCUCUCUCCAUUUAAAGCGUGCAAUCUGCAAAAUGUAUUUUGAAAACGGGCAAAAGCAGACUGAAUUGUCUUUUGCUCCACUUUGUCACUGCUGUUCCUAUAGUUAUUAUUAUCCUAUAACAUGUUUUUGUAUUUGUAUUUUUUUUUAUGCUUACAAUUUGUGUAUUCACAUAGUAUAUUAUAUAUGUAAUUGCAAGUUACGACUGGGGAAAAUGUAUAUGAUGGUAAUGCUAGAACCUGGUCAAACUAAAUAAACACUUUUGAAUUCUGAAA